rnacentral:rRNA from 1 species
UACGUAGGGAGCAAGCGUUGUCCGGAAUCAUUGGGCGUAAAGCGCGCGUAGGUGGCUUCGUAAGUCCGCUGUGAAAGUCAAAGGCUCAACCUUUGAAAGCCGGUGGAUACUGUGAAGCUAGAGUACGGAAGAGGCGAGUGGAAUUCCUGGUGUAGCGGUGGAAUGCGCAGAUAUCAGGAGGAACACCAAUAGCGAAGGCAGCUCGCUGGGACGUUACUGACGCUGAGACGCGAAAGCGUGGGGAGCAAACAGG